rnacentral:rRNA from 1 species
AUGAACGCUGGCGGCGUGCCUCAUCCCUGCCAGUCGAGCGAACAGAUGAGGAGCUUGCUCCUCUGACGUUAGCGGCGGACGGGUGAGUAACACGUGGAUAACCUACCUAUAAGACUGGGAUAACUUCGGGAAACCGGAGCUAAUACCGGAUAAUAUAUUGAACCGCAUGGUUCCAUAGUGAAAGACGGUUUUGCUGUCACUUAUAGAUGGAUCCGCGCCGCAUUAGCUAGUUGGUAAGGUAACGGCUUACCAAGGCAACGAUGCGUAGCCGACCUGAGAGGGUGAUCGGCCACACUGGAACUGAGACACGGUCCAGACUCCUACGGGAGGCAGCAGUAGGGAAUCUUCCGCAAUGGGCGAAAGCCUGACGGAGCAACGCCGCGUGAGUGAUGAAGGUCUUCGGAUCGUAAAACUCUGUUAUUAGGGAAGAACAAAUGUGUAAGUAACUAUGCACGUCUUGACGGUACCUAAUCAGAAAGCCACGGCUAACUACGUG